rnacentral:rRNA from 1 species
CCUACGGGGGGCAGCAGUGAGGAAUAUUGGUCAAUGGGCGCAAGCCUGAACCAGCCAAGUCGCGUGAGGGAUGACGUUCCUAUGGAUUGUAAACCUCUUUUGUCGGGGAGCAAGGCCCGCCACGUGUGGCGGGAAGGAGAGUACCCGGAGAAAAAGCAUCGGCUAACUCCGUGCCAGCAGCCGCGGUAAUACGGAGGAUGCGAGCGUUAUCCGGAUUUAUUGGGUUUAAAGGGUGCGCAGGCGGAAGAUCAAGUCAGCGGUAAAAUUGAGAGGCUCAACCUCUUCGAGCCGUUGAAACUGGUUUU